GAUAGUCUCCUCACAGCUGGCUUCUCAUCAUGAAGUUUUUACAUCUAUUCGUGCUUGCCGUCUGCGUGCUCGCAAUGGCUCUGCCUACAUUGGCUUACCCGGAGCCGCAGAGUGCCACUAGCAUUUUCGCAAGGCUCAGAAACGGAGGGAUUUUCCAUCCUGGACUCGUCAAUCCUACUUUGGCCAGGCUCGGCUUACGGGGAUAGACAAGCCUCCCCCCCUCCCUGCCACCCCCGGCUCAUCCUCCAGCCAUCGGCUUACGAGGAUAGACAAGACCUCAUCCUCCAGCCACCCUAAGACCAUCCCUCUAUCCUUGGUCACGCUGAAGGCCCUCGAAUAAACUCAGAUAACUUCGAA